rnacentral:rRNA from 1 species
GACGAACGCUGGCGGCGUGCUUAACACAUGCAAGUCGAACGCUGAAGCACCAGCUUGCUGGUGUGGAUGAGUGGCGAACGGGUGAGUAAUACGUGAGUAACCUGCCCUUGACUCUGGGAUAAGCCCGGGAAACUGGGUCUAAUACUGGAUGCUACAUGUCACCGCAUGGUGGUGUGUGGAAAGGGUUUACUGGUCUUGGAUGGGCUCACGGCCUAUCAGCUUGUUGGGGAGGUAAUGGCUCACCAAGGCGACGACGGGUAGCCGGCCUGAGAGGGUGACCGGCCACACUGGGACUGAGACACGGCCCAGACUCCUACGGGAGGCAGCAGUGGGGAAUAUUGCACAAUGGGCGAAAGCCUGAUGCAGCGACGCCGCGUGAGGGAUGACGGCCUUCGGGUUGUAAACCUCUUUCAGCAGGGAAGAAGCCACAAGUGACGGUACCUGCAGAAGAAGCGCCGGCUAACUACGUGCCAGCAGCCGCCGUAA